rnacentral:rRNA from 1 species
UACAGAGGUGGCAAGCGUUGUUCGGAAUUACUGGGCGUAAAGGGCGCGUAGGCGGCCACCGCAAGUCAGUUGUGAAAUCUCUGGGCUUAACCCAGAAAGGUCAACUGAUACUGCGGGGCUAGAGUGCAGAAGGGGCAACUGGAAUUCUCGGUGUAGCGGUGAAAUGCGUAGAUAUCGAGAGGAACACCUGCGGCGAAGGCGGGUUGCUGGGCUGACACUGACGCUGAUGCGCGAAAGCUAGGGGAGCGAACGGG